CACAGAAACCAGAAAUUAACAACAGAAAGGCUACAUCUAGCAGAAAUUCUCCACUGUAGGAGCUGAAAAACCACAGUGAAGUACUUCUGGAUUAUCAAAGAAGCCUUCAUCUGAUGAACCAUAAAAAGUAUCAUCCUUAUUAUGCACAGAAUCAUCGAUGUUUAACAUGCGCUCACCAUCACAGAAAAAUCUGAUGACUUUCCUCCAGUAUGCUUCACCUUCAUCAGGAUCCUAUUUUUCACGCUGACUGCGUGGCUGAAAGCUGUUGUGCAGUUAUUUGAACUUUUGCCAUCUCUCAGAAUGGCAAACGUCAGAGGCAGCCACCAAGCAUAGCAGAGUGGAACCACAAACUAUCACCAGAACAAGGAUGGAACACAGGCUACAUUCACUGUAUCACAACCAAACCAGAGUGCCUGAGUUGUGAUACUUAUCCAUGCAUAUGCUCUUUUGUCAUCAUAAAUAUAAACAUUAUCUUAAAUCAUUAGUGAAUGUUUUAGUAUAAAUCAAAGUCAUGAAACAGUCAAUUUAGAUUUUCCUCAAAUUUUGAACACUUGGGCAACCUACUGUAUCUCAGCUAAAGAACAAUGAUUUGCAAACAAAAAAUAACUUCUCAUGCACUCAAUUACUUGCAUCUUUAUUAAAAUAUUCACAGGAACUUGUAUGAGAGACAGCCUCCAACAGGGUCUUAAGCACUUCCACUAAGGUGGUUCUUUAGCCUCAGCAGGAUUCCCUCUCCAAUGCUUGCCCUUCUCACUAAGCAUCUCCUUGUGCUCAGCUGAGUCCUUCUUUACUACAAAGUCAUUUCUCUUGUCCUUCACUCCACUGAACGUGGAAAACAACUAAAGGUUGUUCUUUUUGACAAGUGUGUAUGCACAGUCUUCUUUCUGUCCUUUUUUUUUUUUUUAAUAGAACAACCUUGUUUUUUUCUAAGUGUUGUUUUUUCUUUCUUUAAAAAAGUAAAUAUAAGAUUGGUCUGUUUAAUCAUCUCUGGACUAAUUUCAAUUGGUCACAUUCAUCCUAAAUUACAGCAUCUAAAGCAGAUGACAUAUUUCAGUCCACAAGAGUAGUAUGAAUAACAGCAUGAAAAUACCUUAACAUUGUUACCUAUAUUCCCUAAUAUAAAGAGGGAAAGUGAUGUAGGGAGCAAGCUUUAAAGCAAUAGCAUAAUAGCUAAAACAUGUGACAGCUCUGUUGCAGAAUACAUUUUUACUAACUGUAAUUUUGCUACUACAAACUCACAAAUGGUAUUUUGAUACAAGUCACAAAUCAUGUAUUCUUUCUAUAUACCAGCAGAAUAAAUAUAUAUAUAUAUAUUUUUUUUUUCAGUGUCUCUAAAAACACUGCUUCUUCCCAAAGAGGCGAUACCGCUAGUUUUUAAAAAUUCAGAAAUACCUGAAAAGUCGAUUUAAUGUAAUUCCAAAGAAUAAAAGCCUACUGCAGCGUAAAGCAAAUUAUGAUGAGA